UUACCAUUUUCUGGCCUGUAAAUGGCCCAGGAAGCGACGUAACAGACUAUGGCCUUGUUACGUUUUGGCCUUGUCGAAGCUUGCAAAAAGAAGCGGAACGUAUUCAACAUGAAUCAUCCGGUGAACAUUCGUAAGAUACAAAAUUACUCGGAGCAUCCAUUCUUGUUGGCAGUAUUACUGUGACUGUAAUGUGACUCAAUCUUUAGGUGACUCAAUCCAAGAUAAAGUACAAUUUAAGUUUCGUCAAAAUGUCAGAUUAGCAUUGCAGUCUACAAAAGAAAAUGUCAAACGCAUUCCAUACUUUCUUUUAUUCUACAUCAAGCAUUAUGCGAGGAUGCAAAUAUUUUUACAAGGAAUUGUAAAAAAGUGUAGAUAUUUGAAUACAACAGAGGUAUAUUUUUUAAAUCGAAUUUAAAUUCCAGAAAUUGUAAAAAGUACUUUUUUUUUUAGUAUUUUUCUAUUGUUUUCAAUAUUACAGAGUACAUUUAUAAGGCAUAUUUUAAAUUUAAUUGUACGCUGUAAUAGUCGUGUUAAACAAAUUAUAGUGGUUUGAUUAUAA